rnacentral:lncRNA from 1 species
GGUUGACCUAAGUGGAGCUAGGUGUGAAUGAAACUGGCCUCAUUUUGGGUUUUUUUUUUGAGCUGCUGGAGAUGAAACCCAGGGCUUCGUGCAUGCUAGGUAAGCGCUCUGCCAGAGCUACAUCCCUAGCCCCAGUCUCCUGAUUUUGUGCAAUUAGUGAAUUAAGAAUUGUUUUUCCAUUUUAAAUGUUUUUUGGGAAAGAAUAAUGUUUCUUGCCUUGUGAAAAUGAUAAAAAACUAAACUUUCAGUGUCCAUAAAGUUGUAUUGGAACACAGCCACGUCUAUGACUGCUACAAGGCAGAGGGCAGAGUUAAAUGGUCACAACAGAGAGCUUAUAGGCCAAGGAGCUUUAAAUAUUUACCAUCUGGCCCUUUAUAGAAGAGGGCAGAACCUUGCUUAGCGCCUCCAAACCAAUCGGGCCAUGCUUUCUGCGUAGAGACUUUUGAAUUCAUUUUGUUUUUUUUACUUUUCUUUUUUUGAGACGGGGUCUCGAUAUGUAGUUUAGGCUGGUUUCAAACUCAGGGCAGUCCGCCUGGCUCCACCUCCCGAUUGCUGAGAUUACAGGUGGUGGAAGCCAGACCCUGGCCUGAGAGAUGGAGAAGCCAUUCCUUAAGGUGCCCAGAGCAUGCCAGGGACUGUGGGUCAGAGGAAGUCUCGGGAGAAGACAGCAGCUGGCCUGGGCAGGGUGGUGGACAGGGACCCGCAUUCCAGCUCUGGGUCUGCAAACAGCACUGUUUCCUGGGGAAACAGUAACCCUGGCCAGGUUCCUCUGUUUGCUCCUCUGUAAGGUGAGCGUGAAGGCAAUACACUCCGAUGAAUGUAUGUGUAAAAUGGUUUGAGGAAGAAAAGGGGAAGAAGGCAAGGCAGAGCAUUCCAAGAUUUGGGGGACAAGAAGAGUCACGGUGGAGAAGGCAGGCUCUAAGCAUGAGGUUCUUCAAUCAAGUGGAAACCCACUUCCCCGGUCCUGGUACCUUCCAGCCCUAUUCCUGCCUGUGAAGGCAACAGAGACCAAGCCCGAUUCUUGCUGGCCACACUCCAGCUCCCCGCCACCUCUAAGGGUCUGUGUGGUGUGGGGUUGGAAGCCAGGGCCUUGCGCAUGCUAGACAAGCACUCUAUCACCGAGUGACACCCCCAGCCCUUUCAAGGUCUCACUAAAUUGCCCAAGUGAAACUGGAACUUUUUUUUUGGUACCAGGGAUUGAACUUGGGACCUUGCGCUUUUGAGGCUGGUGGCGGCACCACUGAGCUAAAUCCCCAGCCCAGCAACUGGAACUUUUGAUCCUUCCACCUGGCCUUCUGAGUAGCUGGGAUCCCAGGAGUAUGCAACCACACUGGGCUUUAGGUCUUCUAUAUAUAACUGCUCUGUGAUUGUGGAUGAAUCUUCUGAGGUGUCUGCCCUACCUCCAUCCUCUACUUCGUGAGAACCCCCAGUCUCUGGAGGUUGCUGCUGUCAUUUGUACUUAGUGUACUCCCCCUUGGCAGUGGCUCAUUGGGCAAGGGUACCAGUUUUAACGGAAGCUGGGCCAAUCAGGUUUGCUCCUGGGAAUUGUUUUUAUUUAAAAAUUUUCUUGGGCCAGGGAUUUAGCUCAGUGGCACACACCUGCCUCGAAAGCGCAAGGUCCUGAGUUUGAUCCCUGGUACCAAAAGAAAAUUAUUACAGUAAAAGACACAUUGCUAUUUUUUUUAAGGAAGUUUUUUUUUUGGUACUGGGGAUCGAACUCAGGUCCUUGCACUUGUGUGAGGCAGGCGGCGGAACCACUGAGCUAAAUCCCUGGCUCCACAUUGCUAUUAAUUCCCAUCAAGAUACUCUCGGCUUUGAACACACUUAUCCCAUCAUCUGUGCCACUUCCUGAAGCAGUUCUGGAAGUCCUCUUUCAUGAGUGUCUUUAGUUGUGCUAUCAGGAGAGCCUGGGAAUUUUGAACUGGCAUCCUGAAGUUCCUGACCUGAGGACAUGGAAAGUUGGGACUUAGUGGGACACUGUCUUUAGCCGUGUGCAGAGGAAAGCAGAGGUCAGCAGCCAUGGAACGAGACAGGAAGAGAAAGGGAACAGGAGGAGGAAGACAAGAGUUAAAGGAAGAAAGAGGGAGGGGGAGGGGAGGAGAGAAUGAGAAUCUCAUGGCAGAAAAGGGAGGAGCCCAGAAACCUACACUUGCUUUUUAACAAUCCACUCUUGGUAGCAGGGGAUUUAGCUCAGUGGUUUUACCCCCUGCUGCGCAAGCGCAAAGACCCAAGUUCAAUCCCCGGUACCAAAAAAAAUCCACUCUUGGUAACUAAUCCAGCCCUGCCCAUUCCUGAGGUGGGAAUGAAUCCUUCCACUGUGCCCUUAACUGCCUCUACUAGGCCCCGCCUCUUAAAGAUGGCUCAUCUCUCAACAGGAGUGCUGUAGACUCAGCUUCCAGUAUAGGAAUCUCUGGGGGACAAAUCACAUCCAGGCCACAGUAAUGCCUCAGUCACUGUGGUGCUAUUCUUAGUGGAACUUGCAUCGAAGUGGGCGCUUCUGGGAUAAUCUUCCUCUGCCUUCUGCAGAGUGAGCCUGGGUCAAGACUUCAACAGAGAAGCUGCCCCGACCACUGGUCACCCUGGUGCCUCCUCAGAUAGGUACAUGGCUUUGUUCCCUCAGUUCUCCAAGUUUUUGGUACCGGGGAUCGAACUCAGGACCUUGCGCUUGCAAGGCAGGUGGUGGAACCGCUGAGCUAAAUCCUCAGCCUCCUCCCAAGUUUCUUAACAAAAAUCUGCCAAAGAACCUGGUUUGUCCCUGAAUUUUUCUUUGUUUUAAAAUAUUUUUGAGAUAGAGUCUUGCUAAGUAUUUCAGACUGGCCUUGAACUGUGUAACCCAGACUGGCCUCAAACUCAUGGUGAUCUUCCUGCUUCAGCCUCCUGAGUGCUGGGAUUGAAGGCUUGAGCCACUCCGCCUGGCUUGUCCCUGAAUUUUCUAACCCAGCCCGAAGUACCAUGCGAUUUUAUAACUUGCUGAGCUAGAAGGGCCAUGGGCACUUUCAUGAAUGCUGGGGUGCAGGGACGGGGUGUGAUUCCAUGGUAGACCAUUUGCCUAGCGUGUGUGAGCCCUGGGCUCCAUCCCCAGCACUGGAGGGAAAUAGGUAGAGUCCUCUUUUCUCUCUUGACGACACAUUCUAAGAGUGAGAGUAUGUUUGGUGAACCUAGUGCUUCCAAAGCCAUAAAGCAGAGCUGACGGAAUAAAGAAUUAGCCCCUCCAGCUAACAUGAAGGUAAGCAGCUCUCCUACAGGUCAAAUGCUGUAUUAAAAUGUAGUAAAGAAUGUACUUCUUUUUUUUUUUUUUGGAGACAAAUGUCUCGCUAUGUAGCCCCGGCUGACCUCAAACUCAUGGCAAUCCUCCUGCCUCAGCCUCCCGAGUGCUGGGAUUACAGAAGAAUGUAUUAUUGAGACAAUGGACAAUGAGAAAUAUUUGAAUGUCUCUGAUACAUCCAUAUAACCACAAAUCCAUGUAUUUUACCUUUCUGUUCAGCAAGGUAACCUAACAUAAAAAAGUUCUGUUGGGUAAACAUAAGAAUUUAAAGAAUUUUAGAGCUAGGCAUGGUGGUAUGCACCUGUAGUCCCAGAUCCAGGCUACUUGAGAGGCCAGGAUGGGAAGGUUGCAAGUUCAAGGCCAGGAUGGGUAGUCUAGUGAGACCCUUUCUCAAAAGAGGAUGGGGGUAUAGUUCAAUGUUCCCUGGGUUCAAUGCCUGGUAAAACACACACAAAAGAAUUUUAAACAUAUAGGAAGAAAUGGGGACCAAGUACUCAGCAGAAAAAUAAAUCUGUAUCAGUGAUCUGUGAUGGUAAUGUCAUAAUGAUGACAUCAUAGUGGCGAUGAAAUCAUAAUGAUGUUGUCCACUUGCCUUUUCAUUUCUCCCUCUCUGCUUCUGCUGUUGACCCACUGAAACUUCCCUAGGGCACAAGGGUGUGAUGAAGUCCCACGAGGUCCCACGACAAAUACGAAUGGAAAAAGUCAAGACUACUAAAUGGUGGAAAGGUGUGUUUGGGGGGGACAGUCACAGACACUGUGGGCCAGAUCAUAAGAAUCAGCACAGCCACCUUGGUCUUGAACCAAGUGGCCACCAGGAUGUUCAGCCUGGCGCCAGGGUGGGUGCCCUGCAGAGGGGUGAUGGGAACAGCAAGCGCUCCAUGGCUCCGCCCACAUGGAGAGCUCCUUUUGCUAGCAUCUGUUAACCUUAUUUGCCUCUGAAAAACUGUUGGCUGUGAAUAAGAAAGGGGACCUCCCUUUCAGAAUCAUGGAAGCCAGAGGCCCCAUCAUGCUUUGUGGCACUGUAACAGGAAGAAACACACAAUGGAGACAUUUACCUUCCAGAGCUCAGAGUUGUCUACAUACAAGAAUAAUAUGAGGGCUGGGGAUUUAGCUCAGUGGUUCUGCUGCCUGGCUCACAAGCGCAAGGACUUGAGUUUGAUUCCUGGUACCAAAAAAACCCCCCAAAAACUCAGGCACUUUGUUUUUUCUUCUUGUAGUGCUGGGGAGGAACCCAUAGCCUUGUGCAUGGUCUAGUCCAGGCACUGCUGGUACUUUAUAAGGUGUCUGAACUUUUAAAAAGAUCUGUGAGCCAGUGUGGGGGUGUGUGCUGAUCAUCCCAGCACUCUGGGAGGCUGAGGCAGGAGGACUGCAGGUUCCAGCCCAGCCUGGGUAACUCAGCAACUUACUGAGACCCUGUCUUGAAAUAAAAAAUAAAAGGGCUGAUGAAGUAGCCCAGUGUGAAUGCCCUGGGUUCAACCCCCAGUACCUGAAAAAAGAAAAAAAACAAGGAUUUGUGGCUGUCUUAGGGUGUCUAUUUUCUGUUACCGUCAGAGAAUAUCUGAGACUGGGUGAUUUAUAAACAAUUUUAUUUUCGCUUGCAGUUCUGGGGGCUGAGAAGGCCACUGGGGAGGGCUUCAAGCUACAUCAGCUCAGGGUGGAAAGCACAAAGGCAGCUGGGGACAGGCGGGCACAUGUAAGGGAAGAAGCAAGAGGCAAAGCACAAGCAGCCUCACUUUAAAGCAACCAGCUCUUGUGGUAACUAGUCCAGCCCUGCAAGAGUGAGAACUCGAUCCUACCUUGAAAAUCAACCUAGCCCUGUGAGAAAGGAAUGAAUCACGUUCCAUACCUAUUAUGCAAACAGCUGUUAAAGAUCGCGCUUUCUCUCCACACUAUGCUAGCCACUGUGUUAUUACCUUUCCUCCGCUGGCACAAAGCACCUGACACCCACAGGCUUCAAGGAGAGGUUGAUUUGGUUCAUGGUUUCAGGUAGUGCAGUCCAUGCCUUGCUCCAAGGCAGAAACAUGGUAAAAAGGCCUGGGGAGAACAGCUGCUCACCUCAUGGAGGCGGGAAAGCAAAGUGGGUUGUUAGGAGAGUGGAGAGGAAAGGGCUGGGAAACAGAUGCAGAGUCCAAGGUCAGACCACCAUGCCCCACUUGGAUGCACCUGGAAGUGUGUCACUAAUCUGGCAGGCUUUUUGAUCCAGUCAGGCUAACAAUCACAGUAGUCACAAGUACAAAGCCUUAGUAUGAAUUCUGGCAGGGACAAAUCAUAUUCAGACUAAAUUGGGGCCUUGAUAGGGCUGAAAGAGUAUUCUCAGGAGCUGUUAGGUACUAUGCUUGGUUCUCUUGCUUGUUACUUUAGUUGAGCUGUUGGGCAAUAGGAAGUGUCUGACAAUCUCUGGAAAUCUCAUCUUUGAAAUCUGAGAAAUCAGGGAACUGAAGACAAGAGAGAUAAUCAUAGCAUUUCUGGUUUCCUAAAAGCCUUUUUUGGGGGGGGAAGUUCAGACAGGGUCUCACUAUGUAGUUCAGGCUGACCUUGAACUCAAUAUGUAGCCCAGGCUGGGCUUGAACUCACUGUAAUUCUCCUGCCUCAGCCUCUCAAGUGCUGGGAUGACAGGCAUGCACUACCACGCCAGGCUGCUAAAAGCUUUUGCUUAUAGCUGGGAAGAAUAUGCUAGGGAUGUUCCAUGCUGCCAACACUGACUUCAAGAGGUAAGCAUUUCCUGGUUUGUUUUUUUUUCUGGCUCUACUAGAAAUUGAACCAGGCCUCAUGCAUGCUAGGCACGUGCUCUACUAAGCCAUAUCCUCAGCCUUUUAUUUACAGUUUGAGAGAGGACCUUGCUAAGUUACCUAGGCUGGGGUCCUCCUGCCUCAGCCUCAUGAAUAGCUGGGAUUAGAGGCAUGUGCCACAGCACCCAGCUAACCAAAACUGUCUUGCUCUCUGGAGCUUAUGCUGUAGUGGGCUCAGUGUGGACCACGCUGGUCAGAUCCCUGUGAGCAGGAUCCCAGUUACUUCAAGUUCCCACUCUUUUUGGGUAGCACACUGUCAGGGAAAGGUUAAAACGAGUGUCAUCUGGAAUGUGUGUGUUCACUGAGGUGACACUGGCUGAAUGCCCUUCUGCAGGGAGGCUGGCAACCUCCUGGGAAAGGAGUGUACAGAGAUAACUGUUAACACAUGAAGUACUGCUCGCUCUGAGAAGGUUCUGAGAAGCCAAGCCUGGGAACAGUCCCUCUAGCCACGCAGGCCUGUUGGGACCAAGUCACUUUUGUCUGAAUGCAGUACUUAAGGAACAGAGAAACUGGGUAUGGUGUGGUGUUUUCUCUCUUGCUUGUUGAAGGCUCCAUCUCAUAAAAGAUCCUUCCCCUGGAGGAUUCCCCUUCAUCUUUGGUGCUGUCCCUUACCUUGUGUGGUAUUAUUUGACUAUGCUUAUUAUCUGCUGUACUUUUAUAAUAAACUUACUUUGAUCUUUUAAAAAUCAUUGUGUGGCUCUUCUCUGUUCAUGCAGAUCCGAACCUCAAAUUUCUGUGGCUGCAUACAUGUCACUCCUUGCUGUCACACAUAGUGAAUCUCCUGACUUGUUACCCUGACUUGGCAACUGUGGUGCACACAGAGAGGCAAGUGGAUGAGGAGAAUGAAAGGGAUAACUUAGCUCUUUGCUCGAAUAUGAGCUGGGUCAGAAUAACUGAUGUGAACCCUGGGGCUCAUCCUGUAAUUUCUUCACUCUAUCACAGAGCAUUCUGAAAGGGCAGUUUUAAAUAUUUCCUCAUGUAAACAUCAGGGUGUCUUGUGCCUAAACAUGGUCAUUUCCCACAAACGAGCCACUGCCUCUGCUGCACUAACCAC